rnacentral:rRNA from 1 species
UAAGCUGGGCACUCUGCGGAGACUGCCGGUGAUAAACCGGAGGAAGGUGGGGAUGACGUCAAGUCAGCAUGGCCCUUAUGUCUGGGGCUACACACGUGCUACAAUGGCAGAUACAAACCGUCGCGAGACCGCAAGGUGGAGCUAAUCGGAGAAAGUCUGUCUCAGUUCGGAUUGCAGGCUGCAACUCGCCUGCAUGAAGUUGGAAUCGCUAGUAAUCGCGGAUCAGCACGCCGCGGUGAAUACGUUCCCGGGCCUUGUACACACCGCCCGUCACAUCACGAAAGCUGGCUGUACUAGAAGUCGCCGCGCUAACCCGCAAGGGAGGCAAGCGCCUAAGGUAUGGUUAGUGAUUGGGGUG